rnacentral:antisense_RNA from 1 species
CGUUAUGGCGGCUGUGCGUGAGGCCCUUUCGGGUGCGCGGGGUUCGUUGAUUCCUGGUCUGCUAACCCGCGUACAGGUGCUACCGUG